AACUCAGGUCACCCAUUGAGAUUUGAGAUGAAUAUUGUAUUGCCACGGUGGAUUCAGUAAACGACAGCGUUUAGCAGUUGGCUUGUUGAUGAAGGCGUGCUUGGUUGCCUUGAUGGAUAAGGAGUCAAAAGAGCAUCAACCACCUUACUUUUGCUCAUAAAGAUCAACCACAUCGACUCCAUCAUAGGCCAAUCAGGCAGAAAAGAGCAAAAAAUGAGCAUUUUACCUUUGAGAAAAGAAUAGCUUACCCAUGAAGAAGUUUUACCA
rnacentral:misc_RNA from 1 species